rnacentral:rRNA from 1 species
UUAGGAAUUUUGGGCAAUGGGCGCAAGCCUGACCCAGCAACGCCGCGUGGGCGACGAAGCCCUUCGGGGUGUAAAGCCCUUUUCCACGGGACGAAUCUGACGGUACCGUGGGAAGAAGCCCCGGCUAACUACGUGCCAGCAGCCGCGGUAAUACGUAGGGGGCGAGCGUUGUCCGGAUUUAUUGGGCGUAAAGCGCGCGCAGGCGGCGUGCAGAGCCCUGCGUGAAAGCCCCCGGCUCAACCGGGGGAGGUCGUCGGGGACCUGCAGGCUAGAGGCCGGUAGGGGCGAGCGGAAUUCCCGGUGUAGUGGUGGAAUGCGUAGAGAUCGGGAGGAACACCAGUGGCGAAGGCGGCUCGCUGGACCGGUCCUGACGCUCAGGCGCGAAAGCGUGGGGAGCGAUCCGGAUUAGAUACCCGGGUAGUCCACGCCGUAAACGAUGGGCACUAGGUGUCGGGGGUAUCGACCCCCCGGUGCCGCAGCUAACGCACUAAGUGCCCCGCCUGGGGACUACGGCCGCAAGGCUAAAACUCAAAUAAAUUGACGGGGG